GACGAACGCUGGCGGCGUGCUUAACACAUGCAAGUCGAACGGAAAGGCCCUGCUUUUGUGGGGUGCUCGAGUGGCGAACGGGUGAGUAACACGUGAGUAACCUGCCCUUGACUUUGGGAUAACUUCAGGAAACUGGGGCUAAUACCGGAUAGGAGCUCCUGCUGCAUGGUGGGGGUUGGAAAGUUUCGGCGGUUGGGGAUGGACUCGCGGCUUAUCAGCUUGUUGGUGGGGUAGUGGCUUACCAAGGCUUUGACGGGUAGCCGGCCUGAGAGGGUGACCGGCCACAUUGGGACUGAGAUGCGGCCCAGACUCCUACGGGAGGGAGCAGUGGGGAAUAUUGCACGAUGGGCGGAAGCCUGAUGCAGCAACGCCGCGUGCGGGAUGACGGCCUUCGGGUUGUAAACCGCUUUCGCCUGUGACGAAGCGUGAGUGACGGUAAUGGGUAAAGAAGCACCGGCUAACUACGUG
rnacentral:rRNA from 1 species